rnacentral:rRNA from 1 species
UACAGAGGGUGCGAGCGUUGUCCGGAAUCACUGGGCGUAAAGGGCGCGUAGGUGGCGAGAUAAGCGUGUGGUGAAAGCCCGGGGCUCAACCCCGUGUCUGCCAUGCGGACUGUCUUGCUCGAGCGUAGUAGAGGCAGGUGGAAUUCCGGGUGUAGCGGUGGAAUGCGUAGAGAUCCGGAAGAACACCGGUGGCGAAGGCGGUUCUCUGGGCAUGUCCUGACGCUGAGGAGCGAAAGCGUGGGGAGCGAACAGG